rnacentral:rRNA from 1 species
CCCUAGAGGAGCCUGUUCCAUAAUCGAUAAACCCCGAUCCACCCCACCCUCUCUUGCUCAGCCUAUAUACCGCCAUCUUCAGCAAACCCUGAUAAAGGUUACAAAGUGAGCGCAAACGCCUCCCCGCAAAAACGUUAGGUCAAGGUGUAGCCCAUGAGACGGUAAAAAAUGGGCUACAUUUUCUAUAUCAGAAAACCCACGAAAACUCUUAUGAAACUUGAGAGUCCAAGGAGGAUUUAGCAGUAAAUUAAGAAUAGAGUGCUUAAUUGAACGAGGCCAUAAAGCGCGCACACACCGCCCGUCACUCCCCUCGAAUAUAUUCAAGGAACAUCUUAACUAAACACCCCAAUAUCUAUAUAGAGGGGAUAAGUCGUAACAUGGUAAGUGUACUGGAAGGUGCACUUGGAU